GAGCACAAACAAGAGGAAUUUGACCUACGAGCGUUGCUUUUCGUAACCAUCAACGAUUGGCCUGCUCUUAGUAACCUUUCGGGACUGUCAAAUAAGGGAUACAAUGCAUGCACGCACUGCUUACAUGAGACUGAAAGUGUACAUUUGCCAAAUUGUAAGAAGAACGUGUACCUUGGGCAUCGUCGAUUUCUUCCGAAAAUUCAUCCAGUAAGAAAGAAAGGCAAUCAUUACAACGGCAAGGCAGAUCACCGGCCGAAGCCUGCGGAACGCACUGGUGCUGAGGUAUUUGAUAUGGUCAAGGAUUUGAAAGUCAUCUUUGGAAAGGGUCCUGGUGGACAAUCAGUUCCGAAGGGAGCUGACGGGCACGCAGCCAUGUGGAAGAAGAAAUCUAUAUUCUGGGAGCUAGAAUAUUGGAAAGUCCUAGAUGUCCGCUCUGCAAUCGACGUGAUGCACGUUACGAAGAAUAUUUGCGUGAACCUCCUAAGCUUCUUGGGCGUGUAUGGGAAGACAAAUGAUACAAAAGAA
rnacentral:rRNA from 1 species